GGGACGAACGCUGGCGGCGUGCUUAACACAUGCAAGUCGAGCGGAAAGGCCCUUCGGGGUACUCGAGCGGCGAACGGGUGAGUAACACGUGAGUAACCUGCCCCUAGCUCUGGGAUAGCUCCGGGAAACCGGGAUUAAUACUAGAUACGACCACUUUAGACAUCUGUCGUGGUGGAAAGGAUUCCGGCUGAGGAUGGACUCGCGGCCUAUCAGCUAGUUGGUGGAGUAACGGCCCACCAAGGCGACGACGGGUA
rnacentral:rRNA from 1 species